UCGAGAGGCUUCCACAAUGGGGGAAACCCUGAUGGAGCGACGCCGCGUGGGUGAUGAAGGUCUUCGGAUCGUAAAGCCCUUUCAGUAAGGAUGAAGUUAUUCCAUACUAAUACUGUGGAGUAAAAGACGGUACUUACAGAAGAAGCUCCGGCUAACUCCGUGCCAGCAGCCGCGGUAAGACGGAGGGAGCAAGCGUUGUUCGGAUUUACUGGGCGUAAAGGGCGUCUAGGCUGAUUUGAAAGUCAGAUGUGAAACCCCCCGGCUUAACCGGGGAACUGCAUUUGAUACUGCAAGUCUUGAGUACGGAAGAGGAGAGCGGAAUUCCUGGUGUAGCGGUGAAAUGCGUAGAUAUCAGGAAGAACACCGGUGGCGAAGGCGGCUCUCUGGUCCGAUACUGACGCUGAAGCGCGAAAGUGCGGGGAGCGAACAG
rnacentral:rRNA from 1 species